GGGUUCAUAGCUUAACGGUAAAGCGCACAAGACAAAUACAGAAACGGGGAUGUUAUGCCUAGCAUUUAACGACCUCAGACAUUGAAAAAAAAAUACAAUGUCACUGUAAAAAAUUGUGAGAUGAUGGUUCGAAUCCAUCUGAAUCCA